rnacentral:rRNA from 1 species
UUAAAAAGCUCGUAGUUGAAUUUCGAGAUCGGCUUACUGGUCGUGCUUUUGUACGUACUGGUAUAAUCGGUUUCUCCUUUCUGACGAACUAUAAUGCCAUUAAUUUGGUGUUAUAGGGAAUCAGGACUGUUACUUUGAGAAAAUUAGAGUGUUUAAAGCAGGCUCACGCUUGAAUACAUUAGCAUGGAAUAACGGAAUAGGACGUUUGAUUCUAUUUUGUUGGUUUCUAGGAUCGACGUAAUGAUUAAUAGGGAUAGUAGGGGG